AAUCAACGCUGGCGGCGUGCCUAACACAUGCAAGUCGAGCGGGAAAGGGGGGCUUCGGCCCCUGAGUAUAGCGGCGGACGGGUGAGUAACACGUGGGUAAUUUGCCCUUGGGUGUGGAAUAACUCAGGGAAACUUGAGCUAAUACCGCAUGACAUCCCCUUCACACACGAGUCGGGGAUCAAAGCCGGGGACCCUUCGGGGCCUGGCGCCUGAGGAGAAGCCCGCGCCCGAUUAGCUAGUUGGGAGGUAAUGGCUCACCAAGGCUUCGAUCGGUAGCCGGCCUGAGAGGGCGGACGGCCACACUGGGACUGAGACACGGCCCAGACUCCUACGGGAGGCAGCAGUGGGGAAUUUUUGUCAAUGGGGGAAACCCUGAACAAGCAACGCCGCGUGGAGGACGA
rnacentral:rRNA from 1 species